GUCGAGCGGCAGCGGGGAGUAGCUUGCUACUCUGCCGGCGAGCGGCGGACGGGUGAGUAAAGUCUGGGGAUCUGGCUUAUGGAGGGGGAUAACCAUUGGAAACGGUGGCUAAUACCGCAUGAUGUCGCAAGACCAAAGUGGGGGACUUUAGGGCCUCACGCCAUAAGAUGAACCCAGAUGAGAUUAGCUAGUAGGUGCGGUAAUGGCGUACCUAGGCGACGAUCUCUAGCUGGUCUGAGAGGAUGACCAGCCACACUGGAACUGAGAGACGGUCCAGACUCCUACGGGAGGCAGCAGUGGGGAAUAUUGCACAAUGGGCGGAAGCCUGAUGCAGCCAUGCCGCGUGUGUGAAGAAGGCCUUAGGGUUGUAAAGCACUUUCAGCGGGGAGGAAGGCGGUAAGAGUAAUAUGCUUAUCGAUUGACGUUACCCGCAAAAGAAGCACCGGCUAACUCCGUGCCAGCAGCCGCGGUAAUACGGAGGGUGCGAGCGUUAAUCGGAAUAACUGGGCGUAAAGGGCAUGUAGGCGGUAAGUUAAGUCAGAUGUGAAAUCCCCGAGCUUAACUUGGGAACGGCAUUUGAGACUGGCUGGCUAGAGUUUUGUAGAGGGGGGUAGAAUUCCAGGUGUAGCGGUGAAAUGCGUAGAGAUCUGGAGGAAUACCGGUNGCGAAGGCGGCCCCCUGGACAAGGACUGACGCUGAGGUGCGAAAGCGUGGGUAGCAAACAGGAUUAGAUACCCUGGUAGUCCACGCUGUAAACGAUGUCGAUUUGGAGGUUGUGGCCUAGUGUUAUGGCGUCCGAAGCUAACGCGAUAAAUCGACCGCCUGGGGAGUACGGCCGCAAGGUUAAAACUCAAAUGAAUUGACGGGGGCCCGCACAAGCGGUGGAGCAUGUGGUUUAAUUCGAUGCAACGCGAANAACCUUACCUACUCNUGACAUCCACGGAAUUGAGCAGAGAUGCU
rnacentral:rRNA from 1 species